GUCAAAAUUAUAACUACACAGACACUUCCUUCCAGUGACCUGACUCCUUGUCCCAUGGAAACAGAUGCCCAUGAGACGAAGAAUACCAGGGCAUCAACUGGCCAAGAUGACAAACCAGUUGGCCCUAGAACCACUGAGAGUAGAAGCUGGUCUGGGCUAGAGAUUCUGAGACACAGAGAGGUAGGUCAUAGGUCGUGACCCCAGGCUAGUUGGUGGGUGGAACACUAGCACUAGGCUUUCGGUUGGCACAUCCCACAGUCACUCCACUAAACCAAGGAGUCUUUGUGUCGGGAUAAUAACGCUCCUCCUUGGGAGAAUGGCUUGAGGAGAGGGCACAGCGGUGGGAGAGUACAGAAGCUGGAAAUCCUCACACUUCAUGAGGAGUGAAGUGUCUAUGUGAAUGGCAUCAAAAGAAGAUGAAAGAGUUAGACGAAGAGAAAAAUCCUAGAUUGUCUGAGACUUACCUGCGACUAAGUUUCUUCUGUUCUCCCAUCACCCCAGCCAUUGGUGACUACAAAUCACUGGCUUCCUUCAAUGGCAUCCAGGUGUUUGGAGCAGGAGAAUCCCUUCAAGACUGAUGAUGUGGGGUCUGGGGAUUCUCAGCCCCACUGCAGCAUGGAGCCUGGUGUGACCUGGUAUUCCCUGUGGGAAGCUCAGAGGAGCUGCCUCCAAGGUCUCUUCUAGUGCCACAGUUCUGUGGGCUUCACCUCUGUCCACUCUCCUCCACUACUCCUUUCACAUCAUUGGUCCAAACAACACAUCACUUAAGUUACAAUGACACAUUGCACGUAAGCAUGGAAGUGUUCUUCUUAAUUUAGUGGAGUAAUUUCUUUAAAAAUAUUAACCAAUGUUGCCCCCUUGACUUGUUUCUCCACCCAUUUGACUCUUCCCACCACCUUGUCAGCCAGGCCAUCCUGCACGCACCAACUCAGAGAAAAGAUGUCUCUGUUGAAAGAGACAGACUUCCUGGAGCUUAGUAGAUCAGGCAGGAUUCCCUGCACGGUUAGAAGGCCUGAGGAGCUGGGGUUCCCAAUCUCCCACCCUCCCAUCCCAUCAGAAAAGAAUGCUCCAGCUACUUGAGGAAGGGAACAGGGGAGUCAGAAGGGAAAUACCACGAGAGCAGAGAUUGGCUGAAAUUCACACGCUCCAUGUUCUGUAGCACAGACCCGGACUGCAGAGUGACUCCUGAGUACCCAACUCCAUGGGGCAGCAGAGGGCUGCAGGGCCCGAACACGGGUCUUCAUAUGGUGGGAAUAGGUCCUUGGUGCCCCUGUUCCAGCUUACAGUCAGGUCGUAUAACAAGCUAGGUGGGACCUCUGGCUGGUGGCCUGAUGUUAUGUAAGGCCUGGAAAGCAUCCCAGGGAAAGUGGGGGAGACCAUCAUUCACUCAGAUAUGUUUCCACAGCCCUUGGCAGAGUGAGGGCUCAGGAGGGAAAUCCAGUCGAAUUUCAGGAGAACAGUCAUACUCAUUGCACAUCUGAAUUGGUCCACUGAAAUGUGUACUAAUGACUAGAUAUUUCUAAACCUGUGUUUUUCUAAACAUUGAUAUUCUAAUGAGAUGUUAAUAGAUACUGCUUCCCAGAAAUAGAGACUGUUUCAUGAUCAAAAAUGUUAAAGAAACUGCUGGGUGAAUGAAGCCACACAGAAGACUUUACCAUAGAACUUCUUGUAGCAUACGGUUAUACCCCAUGUAAUUCUCAAAAACAGACAUGAUGUGCAAGAUCUUCCAAAUUUAUGGGACUCUGUUUAAGAAUCUUCAGUGAAUACGUCAUCCAUAAAGCAUGAUUUGAGAAAUGCUGGUUACUGAGAGUCCCUUGUUUUAUAGAUGUGGACAUCCAGACAAAGCAAGAUGCUUGCCCAAGGUCACACAAUGACA
ensembl:lncRNA